GCCUUUAUUACGGAAGCUUCCUCAAAGUGUUGCUGAAGAACUUGAGCAAGAUCUGAAGCAAAUGAUUGUUCGGCAUUCUUUCUUGACUGUUGUCCAUGCUUGCAUCAAGUAUCUACUCUAAUUGAUACCCUCUUUUCGCUAUAUAUAGAAACUAACCAUUUCUGUUCAUAAAAUUCUCACAGCUCAUUGAUACCCUCUUCUCGCUAUAUAUAGGAACUACCAUUUCUGUUCAUAAAAUUCUCGCAACUUCACCUUCCAUGCUUCAGUUGUUUCCUUUUAAGCUUUUGCUUACAAAAUUACAGGUGCCUUUGCU
rnacentral:lncRNA from 1 species